CUAAUUCUGAUAACCUAAGUCGCCAUGGUGAAUGUGGGAAAAAGCAAGUGUCUUACAGAACUGAUAUUGUUGGUGGCGUACCCAUCAUUACUCCCACUCAGAAAGAAGAAGUAAAUGAAUGUGGUGAAAGUAUUGACAGAAAUAAUCUGAAACGGUCACAAAGCCAUCUUCCUUACUUUACUCCUAAACCACCUCAAGAUAGUGCGGUUAUCAAAGCUGGAUAUUGUGUAAAACAAGGAGCAGUGAUGAAAAACUGGAAGAGAAGAUAUUUUCAAUUGGAUGAAAACACAAUAGGCUACUUCAAAUCUGAACUGGAAAAGGAACCUCUUCGUGUAAUACCACUUAAAGAGGUUCAUAAAGUCCAGGAAUGUAAGCAAAGCGACAUAAUGAUGAGGGACAACCUCUUUGAAAUUGUAACAACGUCUCGAACUUUCUAUGUGCAGGCUGAUAGCCCUGAAGAGAUGCACAGUUGGAUUAAAGCAGUCUCUGGCGCCAUUGUAGCACAGCGGGGUCCCGGCAGAUCUGCGUCUUCUAUGCGGCAGGCCAGAAGGCUGUCGAACCCUUGUAUACAGAGCAUCCCCCCGGUCCUUCAGAAUCCAAACACGCUUUCCGUCCUACCAACGCAGCCACCGCCACCUCACAUUCCACAGCCUCUCGCAGCAACUCUUUGGUCUCAACCUUUACCAUGGAGAAGCGAGGAUUUUACGAGUCUCUUGCCAAGGUCAAGCCAGGGAACUUCAAGGUCCAGACUGUCUCUCCAAGAGAACCAGCUUCCAAAGUGACUGAACAAGCUCUGUUAAGACCUCAAAGUAAAAAUGGCCCUCAGGAAAAAGAUUGUGACCUAGUAGACUUGGACGAUGCGAGCCUUCCGGUCAGUGACGUGUGAGGCAGAAGCGCACGGAGCCUGCCUGCCUCUGCCGUCCUCAGUUUCCUUUCAUGAGGCUUCUAGCCAAAGAUGAUAAAGGGGGAAAUGGUUUUUAGUGCGUAUAUUAUACUGCCUCUUAGGUGUACUCUUUAUAAGCUGGUAAACCAAGAAUCUAGGGAGUGGCCAAACUAAAUAUAAUUUCUUUAAAAA
rnacentral:lncRNA from 1 species